rnacentral:rRNA from 1 species
UACGAAGGGGGCUAGCGUUGCUCGGAAUCACUGGGCGUAAAGCGCACGUAGGCGGAUUUCUAAGUCAGGGGUGAAAUCCUGGAGCUCAACUCCAGAACUGCCUUUGAUACUGGGGAUCUCGAGUCCGGGAGAGGUGAGUGGAACUGCGAGUGUAGAGGUGAAAUUCGUAGAUAUUCGCAAGAACACCAGUGGCGAAGGCGGCUCACUGGCCCGGAACUGACGCUGAGGUGCGAAAGCGUGGGGAGCAAACAGG